rnacentral:rRNA from 1 species
GUCUACGGCCAUGCCACCCUGAACAAGCCCAAUCCCGUCUGUUCUCAGAAGCUAAGCAGGGUUGGGCUUGGUUAGUAUUUGGAUGGGAGACCACCUAGAAAGACCAGGUGCUGUAGGUG